UACGGAGGGUGCAAGCGUUGUUCGGAUUCAUUGGGCGUAAAGCGAGUGUAGGCGGUUUGACAAGUCGGAUGUGAAAUCCCGGGGCCCAACCCCGGAACUGCAUCCGAUACUGGCUGGCUAGAGUCCCGGAGAGGGUGGCGGAAUUCCCGGUGUAGGGGUGAAAUCCGUAGAUAUCGGGAGGAACACCAGUGGCGAAGGCGGCCACCUGGACGGUGACUGACGCUGAGACUCGAAAGCGUGGGUAGCAAACAGG
rnacentral:rRNA from 1 species